rnacentral:rRNA from 1 species
ACGUAGGGGGCAAGCGUUAUCCGGAUUUACUGGGUGUAAAGGGAGCGUAGACGGUAAAGCAAGUCUGAAGUGAAAACCCGGGGCUCAACCCCGGGACUGCUUUGGAAACUGUUUAACUAGAGUGCUGGAGAGGUAAGCGGAAUUCCUAGUGUAGCGGUGAAAUGCGUAGAUAUUAGGAGGAACACCAGUGGCGAAGGCGGCUUACUGGACAGUAACUGACGUUGAGGCUCGAAAGCGUGGGGAGCAAACAG